CUCGAGGGAGGACUCUCGCUAAUUCCAAGUCAGGAAGAGAAGAACAACCCCAGCAUUCUGGGCAUGAACAGAGAGCCAAGGAUCAUCUCCAGACAUCGAAGGGCAUCAUUAUCACGGAUAAGAACACAGAUGCUGGGGCUGGAGAGAUGGCGCAGAGGUUAAGAGCUGGCACUAAUCUUUCAGAGGACUGGAGUUUGGUUCCCAUCCCCAUGUUGGGCAGAUCAUGACGACCUGUGACUACAGCUUCAGAGGGCCUAGAACCUUCUUCUGGAGACCCUGCAUGCUCUGCCUUCAUGUGCUCCUUCCCCUAAGACACAGACGCCUUCCUAACCGUCUCUGGUGACAACAGGACAGGAACAUCACAGCUGUUUAUGUGCUAUGAUUUCCUAUGUGUGCACACAGGAAUAAGACUCUCUUGCCUUGCCCACAAACCACUCUUCACUCUUGGGAUGACCUUGCUCCAGCUGGGAUCAGAAGUUCUAGAGCAUUCUGGAAGACAAAAUGGGUAGCAAGUACAGAAGAGAGCUCCCAACUUCAUCACCACCGGGAAAAUGCAAAAUGCAACCAUGAGAUGCCACCUCUCAAACAUA
rnacentral:lncRNA from 1 species